rnacentral:SRP_RNA from 1 species
GCCAGGCGUGGUGGUGCACACCUGUAAUCCCAGCUACUCGGGAGGCUGAGGCAGGAGAAUCACUUGAACCUGGGAGGUGGGGGUUGCAGCGAGCUGAGAUCAUACCACUGCACCCCAGCCUGGGCAACAGAGUGAGAUCCUGUCUCAA